rnacentral:rRNA from 1 species
UUCCGGUUGAUCCCGCCGGAGGCUACCGCUAUUGGAGUUCGAUUAAGCCAUGCGAGUCGCGAGUCUUAGGGACUCGGCGUACCGCUCAGUAACACGUGGGUAACCUGCCCUAUGCUGGGGGAUAACCUCGGGAAACUGAGAAUAAUACCCCAUAGUUCACCACGCCUGGAACGGUGGGUGGAUGAAAGCUCCGGCGGCAUAGGAUGGGCCUGCGGCGUAUCAGGUUGUAGGGGGUGUAAUGUACCCUCUAGCCAUCUACGCGUACGGGUGUUGGGAGACAUCGCCCGGAGAUGGAUUCUGAGACACGAAUCCAGACCCUACGGGGUGCAGCAGGCGCGAAAACUUGGCAAUGCGAGAAAUCGUGACCAGGGAACUCCAAGUGCAUCGGGUAAGACCGAUGCUUUUCUUGACUCUUCAAAGGUCUUGGAAUAAGGGGUGGGUAAGGACGGUGCCAGCCGCCGCGGUAAUACCGGCGCCCCAAGUGGUAGUCGCUUUUAUUGGGCCUAAAACGUCCGUAGCCGGUCUGGUACAUUCGUGGGUAAAUCAACCAGCUCAACUGGUUGAAUUCUGCGAGCACGGCCAGACUUGGGACCGGGAGAGGUGUGGGGUACUCUCAGGGUAGGGGUAAAAUCCUGUCAUCCUGAGAGGACCACCUGUUGCGAAGGCGCCACACUAGAACGGAUCCGACGGUCAGGGACGAAGCCUAGGGGCACGAACCGGAUUAGAUACCCGGGUAGUCCUAGGUGUAAACGCUGUGGACUUGAUGUUGGGGGCGCUCCGAGCGCACUCAGUGUCGAAGCGAAGGUGAUAAGUCCACUGCCUGGGGAGUACGGUCGCAAGGCUGAAACUUAAAGGAAUUGGCGGGGGAGCACCGCAACCUGAGGAUUGUGCGGUUUAAUUGGAUUCAACGCCGG